rnacentral:lncRNA from 1 species
UAACCACAGGAAGCAUCAUUUUGAUUCAGGUCGAAUGGAUGCAAUACUGAGGCAGAAAAAAGUAGCAACUUUUACCUGGGGAACCAGCAUUUAUUCUCUCUCCCCCAAAGAAAGUGCUAACAUAACACUCAGUGAACUAUUUAACUUACAAAAUCUAACAAACCACUCCCAAAAUAAUAUUUUUCAGAGGUUUUUAAUGAGACAUAGAAAUCAGGUAUAUCAUUUUAAUAAUAUAACCAUAUGAAUUAAAAUAAUUGUUUUAAAACAGUUUUUAUAAAUGGUACUAUUUUGAAAGUCAAUAGUAAGGUCCCAGCGAAUACUCACAUUUUUCAAAGCAACAUAACUAUUCAUUGAAUAUAUUCAACUACAAUCUUUUACCAUGAAGUAUACUUGCACUGAUACAAAGCAGAGGAUUUAAAUUUCUAAUUAGUUCUAAUAUUAUAUACCAUGGAUAAAAACCAAAUUUUUCUUGCUUAAAGAAAAAUAUUAAAACUGUAUACUGCAUUUAAAACCACCUUGCAUUUCAUUAGUAAUAAGUUAUUGAAUUCAUUUCCUUUCAGCAUAAAUGAUAUUUUUAAAAUUCUAAAG